AACCUUAUGGACCUGCGGGCGUAUACCUGCGGAGGGAUCAUUACAGAGUUGCAAAACUCCCACAAACCAUCGCGAAUCUUACCCGUACGGUUGCCUCGGCGCUGGCGGUCCGGAAGGCCCUCGGGCCCCCGGACCCUCGGGUCUCCCGCUCGCGGGAGGCUGCCCGCCGGAGUGCCGAAACCAAACUCUUGAUAUUUUUAUGUCUCUCUGAGUAAACUUUUAAAUAAGUCAAAACUUUCA
rnacentral:misc_RNA from 1 species